AGCGCCAUUAUACACAUCACAUAUGACGUCAUAGUUUGUUCGAUUUUGGCUUCACUUUCUCGAGCAAAUGAUCCUUCCUGUACUCUUUAUUCACUUUAUUCAAUGCUCUCUAAUCCAUGGUAGAAGAGUCUCUUACCCCAUUUUGGUGGAAAGAUUCGAAAAUAGGAUAGAUGUAGGAAAAUUCAGCGAAUAUUCGAACGUUAGUUCGAUUUUGAGGAGUGCGUAACGGAUAGUGAAUCCAGAUGAUAAAAUCAUUUAAGAAAACGCACUAGUUAUGUGACAUCUCGAUAAAAAACAUUUUAAUAUUUAAUAACCAUAACGAAUUAAUGUUGGGUGAUGAGAUAGAACAGUCCUUAAAAGUGGAAGAGGUAGAAGAGUAUGCCAUGACUUGUCUAGGGACGUUAGUAUUUGCGGAUAAACAUUCUCGACAAUCAUUAACUUCGAGUGAUUCAUCUAAAGAGCAAGUUGAUUCCUUAUCACUUGCAUAUGAAGAUCUCUUCAUCAUGCCAUAUAACAUCAUACAUGAUUACUGUCUCAUCAUACAACAUUUAGAUAUCAGUAACAACAUGUUUAGUAGAAACCUGCAGUUUUUAUCGGAGUUUGACAAUUUGAGGUCUGUCAAUUUGGAUCAUAAUAAAAUAGACGAUGUUACUAUAUUUCCAAACAUGCCAAAUCUCGAGCUUCUCUGGUUGAAUCAUAAUUGUAUAAAGAAUUUGUAUCCCUUUAUCAAGAAUCUCCGUAGAAGCGUACCGAAUCUUAAAUACUUAUGCCUUAUGGGAAACGAAGCAGCACCUAGUUAUCUCAAUGGUGGAGAUUUCUGUGAUUAUCUUCGAUAUAGGUUGUAUGUGCUAUCUUGGUUUCCACGUUUAAUGCAUUUGGACGAUAGAAUUGUAACUGACCAGCAACUACUACAGACGAAGAAACUAUUUAGGCGAUCAUUGCUCGAAGAUUUUGUCGCAGUGCCAGAAUGCAUUAAGAAUUUGCACAAUAAGAUAGCCGUGCAUUCCAAACCAUCAGUGUCCGAAAGACAAAAAGUAUUCAGUGGAACAAAUUUGGUCGUAUAAAUAAUAUUAAGGCGCAGAUCAGAAAAUGUUCUAACAACGUUUCUUUGUUGAAGAAAUGAGAUUUAUAAUCUGGGUGACGCUAAGUUCCGCAGAAGACCCGGACAUGAAGGCGCCGUAUGAAAUAGAAAAAUUUACGCACCAUCCAGGGAUAUAUUUUGAAAAGCUAGGAGGAUUACAUCAGGUUGAAUCCUUCUGGAAGGUGGUCAUCAAGAUAGACGUGACGUCACUAUCAAAACGACUCACACAGGUAGAAAAAUACGUACGCAAAACGGAUAAUCUAUGCAAAAUGAUAGCAGUCAUAGGUAAAGAAACAUGCGAAAAUCUACACAGCGUCAUUGCAAAAGGGUGUGAAAGAACUAAUAAACUAAUAGAACGCAUAAACUCAACAUACAAUACAAGAAUACACAGAAGAGGAUUAAUGGACGGGAUAGGGUCAGUCGCAAAAUCAUUGUUUGGUACGAUGGACGCAAACGAUGAAAAAUUAAUUAACGAACAACUAACGGUAUUACACGACUCACAGGAAUUAAACAAACACGCAAUAAAAAACCAAAUAAAAAUAAUGCAAGCCACUAUCGCUCACAUUGAUAACAGUGAAAGAACUAUUCGACAAAACGAAAAUACUCUCGCGGACGCGGCAGACAAACUAAGAACAAAAUUAUUAGAAGAUGAACGCCAAAGUAACCUACACGAAAAUUUUAUAAUAAUUAACGCGGUACUGUCUGAUCUAACACGCGACGCGGAAGACGUAGUAGAAUAUUUAACGUUUUUAAAAGAAGGAAUUCUGCAUCCCCGGUUAACACCCAUUUCAAUAAUAAUAGAAUCACUUAAAGACGCUAGCUCGCAAUUGCCCGAAGGACUCUACUUCCCAUUCAGAAUAAAAGAGAAUGAAUGGUCGACAAUAGAGAAAUUUGCGACAGUAGGCGCAUACUGCGACUAAAUAAACAUAUAUACUAUUUUACGAUUCCCUCUAAUUUCGAUGCCAAAAUACGAAAUACUAAGUGUAAUUCCGUUACCUAUCCCAAGUCAGAACAACAUUUUCUCGUUCGUAGAAAUUAACAAUCCCCUGAUCGCAAUAGACACAGAACAGCGUACUUAUAUAAUCCUCGCAAAGAACGACCUGCGGAAAUGCAUAGAGAUAAAUACCGAAUACCUAUGCGCGGAAAAUCACCCUGUAUAUCGAAUAAACCCAGACUCUAUCUGCGAAAUAAAAAUGUACCUAGAAACUAAAGAUCAUUAUAAAAAUUGUAACAUAAAAAAUACGACGUUGAACCAUAGCCUUUGGAUAGCGCUAAGUAAUUCACACUCGUGGCUAUACUCGUCACCACGAAAACAAGUAAUUACUCUACAUUGUAAAGACCACGGAAAAAUAAAGGAAACAAUUGAAAAAGUAGGCAAAAUUACAUUAAAAAAUAACUGUAAGUUAGUGACAGAAAAUACAAUUAUAAGAUCACCCAAGAUGUCACAUGAGGCAAGAGUAGAAUCAUAUCUACCUCAGUAUAAUAUUUCACUACCACAGAAGCCUGGCUUAGAAAACGAUACAGGCCUCAAGGAAAUAAAAUUAAAAAAUAUUAUACCAAAUCCGACGGAAUUAAAAAAUUCCAAGGAUAAAUUAGAGGAGAUAGACAACGAACUAGAUAAAAAUUCAAGUUCGAUUUUUCAGUCGCCACACUUUAUUUUUCCAAUGGCAACAAGCGGAACAACAAUUGUAAUAA
rnacentral:misc_RNA from 1 species